ensembl:lncRNA
UUUCUGGAAAACGGCACUUUAUUCACGCCUUAAGGCUAAGGCACAGGAAUCAGGGAACUCAGGAGACAACAGGGAACUCGGGAGACAACAGGGAACACGCAGGACUAACAACCACAAUGAUAGCACACAGAACAAAGGAAAGACAAGGGCUUAAGUAACAAAUACAACGAGGAACAGCUGAGACAGAUUAGGGGAGGGAACAGUAAUCAACACAGGAGGGAAACACAGGGAUACACACCAAAACACGACAGACCAAUGCAGUACCCCCCCCUUAAGGGUCGACUGCCAGGCGACCCACGACAAGCAAAAAAACGAAGAAAGUCAAACCCAAAACGGGUGGGUGGAGGGGCGCCAGGAGGGGGGAAAUCAAAAAAAAAAAAAAUGGACUGGGGCAGAGCGGAGGGACGUCAGGCGGGCAGCCAGAAAACUGCCCCAGGGCAUGGCAGGGAGCCUCAGGCGGACGGCCUGGGGGGCAAGCAGAGGCAGAGUGAAGGCGGAACCCUUCAGGAGGCUUGCAGCAAGGAUGAUUAGGGCUCAGUCCCUCAGGAGGCCUGCAGCGGCAAGGAGACACCUCUGAAGGCCAGCAGUGGCGAAGGCAGAAACCUUCAGGAGGCCGGCGAAGGCGAGGUAGAGGGCGGGUCCCCUCAGAAGGAAGGCGAGGUGGAGGGCGGGUCCCCUCUGGAGGAAGGAGAGGUAGAGGGCGGGUCCCCUCUGGAGGAAGGAGAGGUAGGGGGCGGGUCCCCUCUGAUGGAAGGCCAGGUAGAGGGCGGGUCCCCUCUGGUGGAAGGCCUUGAAGGGGAACCCCCCUCGGGAAGGAGCAGGGGGCGGGCCCCCUCAGGCAGGAGCAGAGACCGGUCCCCCUCUGGAAGGAGCAGGGGGCGGGCCCCCUCAGACCACCUCAAGCAGGCGAAGAGGCCGGUCCCCCUCUGGAAGGCGAGGAGUGGGCUCAGGAACCGGACAGGGCUCGGGGACCGGAGUCAGUGUGGGAGCUGGAGUGCCAGGAGGAACCGGGUGGUACCCCGAACCCUCCCAAAAAUCUGUUGCCUUCAUUAAGAACCCUAAUAAAUCCUCCCACUCACGGCUAACUUGAUCGUCCGCUGGGUCCAAUGUUGGUGCCAUCAUUCUGUUAGGAGUGGUUGCGUGUGCAGGCAGGCAGGUAGGACCCAGACGCAGACGGUUUCUUGAAAACGGCACUUUAUUCAUGCCUAAAGGCUAAGGCACAGGAAUCAGGGAACUCGGGAGACAACAGGGAACUCGGGAGACAACAGGGUACUCGGGAGACAACAGGGUACUCGGGAGACAACAGGGUACUCGGGAGACAACAGGGACCACGCAGGACUAACAACCACAAUGAUAGCACACAGAACAAAGGAAAGACAAGGGCUUAAGUAACAAAUACAACGAGGAACAGC